rnacentral:rRNA from 1 species
CGAUUACUAGCGACUCCGACUUCAUGGGGUCGAGUUGCAGACCCCAAUCCGAACUGAGACCGGCUUUUUGGGAUUCGCUCCACCUUACGGUAUCGCAGCCCUCUGUACCGGCCAUUGUAGCAUGCGUGAAGCCCAAGACAUAAGGGGCAUGAUGAUUUGACGUCAUCCCCGCCUUCCUCCGAGUUGACCCCGGCAGUCUCCCAUGAGUCCCCGGCAUAACCCGCUGGCAACAUGGGACGAGGGUUGCGCUCGUUGCGGGACUUAACCCAACAUCUCACGACACGAGCUGACGACAACCAUGCACCACCUGUGCACCGACCUUGCGGAACCACCAUCUCUGGCAGCGUCCGGUGCAUGUCAAGCCUUGGUAAGGUUCUUCGCGUUGCAUCGAAUUAAUCCGCAUGCUCCGCCGCUUGUGCGGGCCCCCGUCAAUUCCUUUGAGUUUUAGCCUUGCGGCCGUACUCCCCAGGCGGGGCACUUAAUGCGUUAGCUGCGGCACGGAACUCGUGGAAUGAGCCCCACACCUAGUGCCCAACGUUUACGGCAUGGACUACCAGGGUAUCUAAUCCUG